UAGGUUUAAGAGACAACCUGGAGAACUGAAACAUCUAAGUAACCAGAGGAAAAGAAAUCAAUUGAGAUUCCGUUAGUAGUGGCGAGCGAACGCGGAGUAGGCCAGUAGUUUUGUUAGAAAAAUUUGAAUAGUUUGGAAAUGCUAACCAUAGAGGGUGAUAGUCCCGUAUGGGUAAUGUCUAACAAAAUUCUUGAGUAAAGCGGGACACGAGAAAUCCUGCUCGAAUAUAGGGGGACCACCCUCUAAGCCUAAAUACUCUUCAGUGACCGAUAGUGAACUAGUACCGUGAGGGAAAGGUGAAAAGAACCCCUAUUAGGGGAGUGAAAUAGAACCUGAAACUGCAUGCCUACAAUCAGUCCGAGCCCUUUUUAGGGUGAGGGCGUACCUUUUGUAUAAUGGGUCAGUGACUUAAUUUAUUAAGCAAGCUUAAGCCAUCUAGGUGUAGGCGCAGCGAAAGCAAGUCUUAAUAGGGCGAUUAGUUUAAUGAAUUAGACCCGAAAACGAAUGAGCUUACCAUGAGCAGGUUGAAAGUUGGGUAACACCAACCGGAGGACCGAACCAGUUGACGUUGAAAAGUCUUUGGAUGACUUGUGGUAAGGGGUGAAAGGCCAACCAAAUUCGUAGAUAGCUGGUUUUCCGCGAAAACUAUUUAGGUAGUGCGUCGAAUAAAUAGAUGUUUAGAGGUAGAGCACUAAAUGGGCUAGGGGGAAGAGAUUCUUACCAAACCUAAUAAAACUCCGAAUGCUAGACAUUGU
rnacentral:rRNA from 1 species